CCGGUGGACCUCGGAUCAGGUAGGGAUACCCGCUGAACUUAAGCAUAUCAAUAAGCGGAGGAAAAGAAACCAACCGGGAUUGCCUCAGUAACGGCGAGUGAAGCGGCAACAGCUCAAAUUUGAAAUCUGGCCUCUGCGGGGUCCGAGUUGUAAUUUGCAGAGGGUGUUUCGGGUGCGGUGCCGGUCUAAGUUCCUUGGAACAGGACGUCAUAGAGGGUGAGAAUCCCGUCUGCGACUCGGCCACCAACCCCGCGUGAAACCCCUUCGACGAGUCGAGUUGUUUGGGAAUGCAGCUCAAAAUGGGUGGUAAAUUUCAUCUAAAGCUAAAUACCGGCCAGAGACCGAUAGCGCACAAGUAGAGUGAUCGAAAGAUGAAAAGCACUUUGGAAAGAGAGUUAAAAAGUACGUGAAAUUGUUGAAAGGGAAGCGCUUGCGACCAGACCUGUCCCCGGGCGAUCAUCCGCCAUUCGUGGCGGUGCACUCGCCCGGACGCAGGCCAGCAUCGGUUCGGGCGGCGGGACAAAGGGCCCGGGAACGUAGCUUCCUCCGGGGAGCUUUAUAGCCCGGGUUGCCAUGCCGCCCGCCUGGACCGAGGACCGCGCUUCGGCUAGGAUGCUGGCGUAAUGGUCGUAAGCGACC
rnacentral:rRNA from 1 species